rnacentral:tRNA from 2 species
AUAGAUAUGAUGGAAUUGGAAGACAUGUUAGGUUUAGAUUCUAAUGAUUUUUUCGUGAGGGUUCGAGUCCCUCUAUCUAUA